rnacentral:rRNA from 1 species
GACGAACGCUGGCGGCGUGCCUAAUACAUGCAAGUCGAACGCAGUGGGGACGGGUGAGUAACACGUGGGUAACCUCCCAUCAGAGGGGAUAACACUUGGAAACCGGUGCUAAACCGAUACUGAUGGAUGGACCCGCGGUGCAUUAGCUCGUUGGUGAGGUAACGGCUCACCAAGGCCACGAUGCAUAGCCGACCUGAGAGGGGGAUCGGCCACACUGGAACUGAGACACGGCCAAGACUCCUACGGGAGGCAGCAGUAGGGAUUCUUCGGAAAUGGAGGAAAGUCUGACCGAGAAAGCCCGCGUGAGUGAAGAAGGUUUUCGGAUCGUAAGACUCUGUUGUUAGAGAAGCGGUAUCUAACCAGAAAGCCACGGCUAACUACGUGCCAGCAGCCGCGGUAAUUC